UACGGAAGGUCCGGGCGUUAUCCGGAUUUAUUGGGUUUAAAGGGAGCGUAGGCCGGGUUUUAAGCGUGCCGUGAAAUGUCGGGGCUCAACCUUGACACUGCGGCGCGAACUGGAGUCCUUGAGUGCGCGGAACGUAUGCGGAAUUCGUGGUGUAGCGGUGAAAUGCGUAGAUAUUAGGAGGAACACCAGUGGCGAAGGCAGCCUACCGGCUCCAGACUGACGCUGAGGCACGAAAGCGUGGGUAUCGA
rnacentral:rRNA from 1 species